rnacentral:rRNA from 1 species
CAUAGGUUAAUGAGGCGAACCGGGGGAACUGAAACAUCUAAGUACCCCGAGGAAAAGAAAUCAACCGAGAUUCCCCCAGUAGCGGCGAGCGAACGGGGAGCAGCCCAGAGCCUGAAUCAGUGUGUGUGUUAGUGGAAGCGUCUGGAAAGGCGCGCGAUACAGGGUGACAGCCCCGUACACAAAAAUGCACAUGCUGUGAGCUCGAUGAGUAGGGCGGGACACGUGGUAUCCUGUCUGAAUAUGGGGGGACCAUCCUCCAAGGCUAAAUACUCCUGACUGACCGAUAGUGAACCAGUACCGUGAGGGAAAGGCGAAAAGAACCCCGGCGAGGGGAGUGAAAAAGAACCUGAAACCGUGUACGUACAAGCAGUGGGAGCACGCUUAGGCGUGUGACUGCGUACCUUUUGUAUAAUGGGUCAGCGACUUAUAUUCUGUAGCAAGGUUAACCGAAUAGGGGAGCCGAAGGGAAACCGAGUCUUAACUGGGCGUUAAGUUGCAGGGUAUAGACCCGAAACCCGGUGAUCUAGCCAUGGGCAGGUUGAAGGUUGGGUAACACUAACUGGAGGACCGAACCGACUAAUGUUGAAAAAUUAGCGGAUGACUUGUGGCUGGGGGUGAAAGGCCAAUCAAACCGGGAGAUAGCUGGUUCUCCCCGAAAGCUAUUUAGGUAGCGCCUCGUGAAUUCAUCUCCGGGGGUAGAGCACUGUUUCGGCAAGGGGGUCAUCCCGACUUACCAACCCGAUGCAAACUGCGAAUACCGGAGAAUGUUAUCACGGGAGACACACGGCGGGUGCUAACGUCCGUCGUGAAGAGGGAAACAACCCAGACCGCCAGCUAAGGUCCCAAAGUCAUGGUUAAGUGGGAAACGAUGUGGGAAGGCCCAGACAGCCAGGAUGUUGGCUUAGAAGCAGCCAUCAUUUAAAGAAAGCGUAAUAGCUCACUGGUCGAGUCGGCCUGCGCGGAAGAUGUAACGGGGCUAAACCAUGCACCGAAGCUGCGGCAGCGACGCUUAUGCGUUGUUGGGUAGGGGAGCGUUCUGUAAGCCUGUGAAGGUGUGCUGUGAGGCAUGCUGGAGGUAUCAGAAGUGCGAAUGCUGACAUAAGUAACGAUAAAGCGGGUGAAAAGCCCGCUCGCCGGAAGACCAAGGGUUCCUGUCCAACGUUAAUCGGGGCAGGGUGAGUCGACCCCUAAGGCGAGGCCGAAAGGCGUAGUCGAUGGGAAACAGGUUAAUAUUCCUGUACUUGGUGUUACUGCGAAGGGGGGACGGAGAAGGCUAUGUUGGCCGGGCGACGGUUGUCCCGGUUUAAGCGUGUAGGCUGGUUUUCCAGGCAAAUCCGGAAAAUCAAGGCUGAGGCGUGAUGACGAGGCACUACGGUGCUGAAGCAACAAAUGCCCUGCUUCCAGGAAAAGCCUCUAAGCAUCAGGUAACAUCAAAUCGUACCCCAAACCGACACAGGUGGUCAGGUAGAGAAUACCAAGGCGCUUGAGAGAACUCGGGUGAAGGAACUAGGCAAAAUGGUGCCGUAACUUCGGGAGAAGGCACGCUGAUAUGUAGGUGAAGUCCCUCGCGGAUGGAGCUGAAAUCAGUCGAAGAUACCAGCUGGCUGCAACUGUUUAUUAAAAACACAGCACUGUGCAAACACGAAAGUGGACGUAUACGGUGUGACGCCUGCCCGGUGCCGGAAGGUUAAUUGAUGGGGUCAGCGCAAGCGAAGCUCUUGAUCGAAGCCCCGGUAAACGGCGGCCGUAACUAUAACGGUCCUAAGGUAGCGAAAUUCCUUGUCGGGUAAGUUCCGACCUGCACGAAUGGCGUAAUGAUGGCCAGGCUGUCUCCACCCGAGACUCAGUGAAAUUGAACUCGCUGUGAAGAUGCAGUGUACCCGCGGCAAGACGGAAAGACCCCGUGAACCUUUACUAUAGCUUGACACUGAACAUUGAGCCUUGAUGUGUAGGAUAGGUGGGAGGCUUAGAAGUGUGGACGCCAGUCUGCAUGGAGCCGACCUUGAAAUACCACCCUUUAAUGUUUGAUGUUCUAACGUUGACCCGUAAUCCGGGUUGCGGACAGUGUCUGGUGGGUAGUUUGACUGGGGCGGUCUCCUCCUAAAGAGUAACGGAGGAGCACGAAGGUUGGCUAAUCCUGGUCGGACAUCAGGAGGUUAGUGCAAUGGCAUAAGCCAGCUUGACUGCGAGCGUGACGGCGCGAGCAGGUGCGAAAGCAGGUCAUAGUGAUCCGGUGGUUCUGAAUGGAAGGGCCAUCGCUCAACGGAUAAAAGGUACUCCGGGGAUAACAGGCUGAUACCGCCCAAGAGUUCAUAUCGACGGCGGUGUUUGGCACCUCGAUGUCGGCUCAUCACAUCCUGGGGCUGAAGUAGGUCCCAAGGGUAUGGCUGUUCGCCAUUUAAAGUGGUACGCGAGCUGGGUUUAGAACGUCGUGAGACAGUUCGGUCCCUAUCUGCCGUGGGCGCUGGAGAACUGAGGGGGGCUGCUCCUAGUACGAGAGGACCGGAGUGGACGCAUCACUGGUGUU